GACCUCGGCUGUGUAGUGGUAGCGCGGGUCCCCGGUAUGGGUAAAACGCGGGUUCAACUCCCGCUGAGGUCA